CAGCAGCCGCGGUAAGACAGAAGAUGCAAGCGUUAUCCGGAAUGAUUGGGUGUAAUGCGUCUGUGGGUGGCUUUUCAAGUCCACCGUCAAAUCCCAGGGCUCAACCCUGGACAGGCGGUGGAAACUACCAAGCUAGAGUACGGUAGGGGCAGAGGGAAUUUCCGGUGGAGCAGUGAAAUGCGUUGAGAUUGGAAAGAACACCAACGGCGAAAGCACUCUGCUGGGCCGACACUGACACUGAGAGACGAAAGCUAGGGGAGCAAAUGGGAUUAGAUACCCCAGUAGUCCCUGUCUCUUAUAC
rnacentral:rRNA from 1 species